UGAGUACUCCCUCUGUCCCAAAUUUCUUGUCUUAGAUUUGUCUAGAUACGGAUGUAUCUAAUACUAAAAUGUGACUUGAUACAUCUGUAUCUAGAAAAAUCUAAGACAAGAAUUUUGGGACGGAGGGAGUACAUA
rnacentral:pre_miRNA from 1 species